GACAGAGGGUGCAAACGUUGCUCGGAAUUACUGGGCGUAAAGCGCGUGUAGGCGGCUCGGAAAGUCGGAUGUGAAAGCCCUGGGCUUAACCUAGGAAGUGCAUUCGAAACUCCCGAGCUUGAGUUCUGGAGAGGAAGGCGGAAUUCUCGGUGUAGAGGUGAAAUUCGUAGAUAUCGAGAGGAACACCGGUGGCGAAGGCGGCCUUCUGGACAGUGACUGACGCUGAGACGCGAAAGCGUGGGGAGCAAACAGG
rnacentral:rRNA from 1 species